rnacentral:misc_RNA from 1 species
GACGCUCACCUUUGCCCAACCCAACUGUACCCUCAUGAAGACUCAACCUCACUCUCCAUCAACAUUCCCUCUCAACAACUCAAUCAGACCCAUCUUAACAACCUCAAAACAGGAUCCAUUAAUUCAUCAAUAUAGUUUAUUUAUUGUAAAUUGGGUUUAAUUAACAAUUUUAAUUUGGGGGAUUAGAAGUGCUAACCCGUCGCCUCUGUAAGAAUUUAACGGGGCAACUAAUAGAGUUCAAUUGUAGUAAAUUUCAAAGUUCAUGGUAUAUUUAUUAAGAAAAUAAUUUAGGGUACAAUUGUAAAAAAGGUAGAGCUUGGGGUUUUUUUGGACAUUUUCA